rfam:Trichuris trichiura, WGS project CBXK01000000 data, contig: TTRE_656
GGGCCACUAGCUCAAACGGUAGAGCGCUCGCUUUGCAUGCGAGAGGUACUGGGAUCAAUACCCAGGUGGUCCA